UACGAAGGGGGCUAGCGUUGUUCGGAAUUACUGGGCGUAAAGCGCGCGCAGGCGGUUUUUCAAGUCAGUGGUGAAAGCCCGGAGCUCAACUCCGGAACUGCCAUUGAAACUGGCGGUCUGGAGUAGUGGAGAGGAAAGCAGAAUUCCUGGUGUAGAGGUGAAAUUCGUAGAUAUCAGGAGGAACACCGGUGGCGAAGGCGGCUUUCUGGACACUUACUGACGCUGAGACGCGAAAGCGUGGGGAGCAAACAGG
rnacentral:rRNA from 1 species